rnacentral:rRNA from 1 species
GAUGAACGCUGGCGGCGUGCCUAAUACAUGCAAGUCGAGCGAACAGACGAGGAGCUUGCUCCUCUGACGUUAGCGGCGGACGGGUGAGUAACACGUGGAUAACCUACCUAUAAGACUGGGAUAACUUCGGGAAACCGGAGCUAAUACCGGAUAAUAUAUUGAACCGCAUGGUUCAAUAGUGAAAGACGGUUUUGCUGUCACUUAUAGAUGGAUCCGCGCCGCAUUAGCUAGUUGGUAAGGUAACGGCUUACCAAGGCAACGAUGCGUAGCCGACCUGAGAGGGUGAUCGGCCACCCGGGAACUGAGACACGGUCCAGACUCCUACGGGAGGCAGCAGUAGGGAAUCUUCCGCAAUGGGCGAAAGCCUGACGGAGCAACGCCGCGUGAGUGAUGAAGGUCUUCGGAUCGUAAAACUCUGUUAUUAGGGAAGAACAAAUGUGUAAGUAACUAUGCACGUCUUGACGGUACCUAAUCAGAAAGCCACGGCUAACUACGUG